rnacentral:rRNA from 1 species
UACGUAGGGUGCAAGCGUUGUCCGGAAUUAUUGGGCGUAAAGAGCUCGUAGGCGGUUUGUCGCGUCUGCUGUGAAAACUCGGGGCUUAACUCCGGGCCUGCAGUGGGUACGGGCAGACUAGAGUGCGGUAGGGGGAGACUGGAAUUCCUGGUGUAGCGGUGAAAUGCGCAGAUAUCAGGAGGAAUACCGAUGGCGAAGGCAGGUCUCUGGGCUGAUAACUGACGCUCAUGCACGAAAGCGUGGGGAGCAAACAGG